UUUUGUUUACAGCAUAGUAAGAUAAUUCUCAUUUUCUGAUCUUUCAAUAGUUGGAUAUUUAUUGGCUCAAGAAGUCCUAUCAGAAAAAGAAAGAAGUAUGUUAAUGAGGUAUAAUAAUGAUAUUAUGUAGAAAUUUAAGUCUCAUAAAAAUUUGGGAACAAAGAAAAUGAAAAAUACAUACUUUACAAAUGGGUCUAAGAAGAUUGAAAAAUAAAAUAACAUUAAUGCAUCAAUUAAUUGAUUACUUAAAAGAAAAAUCUUUGAUAAGUGAAUCAUCUGAAUUGACCAUAAAGGCUUCCCUAGCUGGGCCAGCACAAAGUAUUUUUGAAAGAAUGUUAAAAGGACCUGCCACACAAAAAUCCAAUCCUCUGCUACUAUCCUUUGCUUUAACAUUGUAAUUUUAUUCACCGAAAACAUAGAAUUUUAUAAGGGAUACAUAAACUGGCCCAAUAUUUUUGAUAUUUUUAACUCUCAGAAUGGAUUUACAAAAUAUUCAUAUAAAAAAUUAUCAAAAUAUAAGAACAACAUACUUUUUAGUAAUUUUGAAAUAAUUUAAUUGUAUAUUAUUGGACUUACUUUAAAAGAAAGGCCAAUCAUAGAGUCGCAAAGAAAAACAGCUUACAACAUAUGUUUAAAUCUAUGUAAAAGAAAGGCAAUUAUUAAAAUAUAUUUUAACUAACUGGUGGAGGUCUACAUAUACAAAAAACAAAAACGGAAGAUAAUAAUAUAUUCAAUUAAUGUAAAAAUGAGAAGAGCAUUGUGGGAUUAAAAAACAUACGAUGGUGAUAGAUUGUCUAAAACUAAUAGGAGUACUGGUAUUUCUCAAAACAAUACUGAUGGUUACAAAGAAACUGAAUAAAAG